rnacentral:rRNA from 4 species
UAGGGAAUCUUCCACAAUGGGCGCAAGCCUGAUGGAGCAACACCGCGUGAGUGAAGAAGGGUUUCGGCUCGUAAAGCUCUGUUGUUAGAGAAGAACGUGCGUGAGAGCAACUGUUCACGCAGUGACGGUAUCUAACCAGAAAGUCACGGCUAACUACGUGCCAGCAGCCGCGGUAAUACGUAGGUGGCAAGCGUUAUCCGGAUUUAUUGGGCGUAAAGCGAGCGCAGGCGGUUUGAUAAGUCUGAUGUGAAAGCCUUUGGCUUAACCAAAGAAGUGCAUCGGAAACUGUCAGACUUGAGUGCAGAAGAGGACAGUGGAACUCCAUGUGUAGCGGUGGAAUGCGUAGAUAUAUGGAAGAACACCAGUGGCGAAGGCGGCUGUCUGGUCUGCAACUGACGCUGAGGCUCGAAAGCAUGGGUAGCGAACAGG